CCCUUAGAUGUUCUGGGCCGCACGCGCGCUACACUGAUGCAUUCAACGAGUCUAAAACCUGCUCUGAUAGGGGUGGGUAAUCUUUUGAAUGUGCAUCGUGAUUGGGAUAGAUGAUUGCAAUUUUUCAUCUUCAACGAGGAAUGCCUAGUAAACGCAAGUCAUCAGCUUGCAUUGAUUACGUCCCUGCCCUUUGUACACACCGCCCGUCGCUCCUACCGAUUGAAUGACUCGGUGAAAAAUUGGGACUGUGAUUGAAAUUGCUUCAUUGCGAAUUUAAUCAUGGAAACUUUCUUUAACCUAGGCAUUUAGAGGAAGGUGAAGUCGUAACA
rnacentral:rRNA from 1 species